rnacentral:lncRNA from 1 species
GCUAGUCUCCAGUCUUCUUCAACCUGGGAAAGACUGCAGUUCAGCAGAUUUGCAAACUCUAUUAGACUUCUCAAAGAAACAACGUUCUUGCUGGAGGGAGUCAAAUCUCAACAAAGCCCACAGCUGGGUGUCCUUUGGAAAUGACCGGAAAGUGAUUUGACCACAUCUCUCACUUUCUGGAUGCGUACUCUGACCACUGGCUACUCUCUAGGGGCUGUCUGUCAGUCCCUAGGUUCGUGGGACAGUACAGCCAACAUAUCUGCUGCUGAAAGGAUUUUGCCUGUCCCCACCGCUGGCUGCUGUCCUUCAGAGAACAGCUGCUGUCUGCAGGGUGCCCCUUUCGGCUGGGAGCUGUGGAAGAACGUCUUUCUCCUGCACCCAGAAUUAAUUUGCGAGGCUGCAGCUCAUACAAAUAAUUAG